rnacentral:rRNA from 1 species
UACGAAGGGGGCUAGCGUUGCUCGGAAUCACUGGGCGUAAAGCGCACGUAGGCGGCUUUUUAAGUCAGGGGUGAAAUCCUGGAGCUCAACUCCAGAACUGCCUUUGAUACUGAGAAGCUUGAGUCCGGGAGAGGUGAGUGGAACUGCGAGUGUAGAGGUGAAAUUCGUAGAUAUUCGCAAGAACACCAGUGGCGAAGGCGGCCAACUGGACCAAUACUGACGCUGAGGCGCGAAAGCGUGGGGAGCAAACAGG